AGAACUAUAAACUGACUACACAGCUCCCUGGCCCGGGAAGGCUAUGAAACAGGCAACAUGGACAAUUUAAAGGUGUACAACAUCCGAGGUUCCAUUUCACCCUCAGGCAGCACGGAGUGGACAAGAGAUGGGGUCUCACUUUGUCACCCAGGCUGGGCUCAAACUCUUGGCUUCAAGCGAUCUUCUCGCCUUGGUCUCCCAAAGUGCUGGGAUUACAGGCUUGAACUACUGUACUCGACUGACUUUUCCUAUUUCUAAUGUCAGCAUGAAGAACACAAGAAGUCAGCUUCAAAGAGUCUAGAAGAGCAAACAUUCACUUUGCAGCCUCCCUUGUACCAAGGAGUGGCCAUGAGACAAUUCUGCCCAAUGAAUCAGAAGAGGAAUUGUGUUGAGGAUUUCUGGAAAGACUACUUCUUUUCCCAAGAAAAAGUGACAGACGCAGUAGGGGCUGAGCAACUUCCGUGCCUCUUCCAGCCUUACGGAUGUGCUGUUGGUAGCUGUGACUGCCUUGCUACUACGAGGAAAAGGAAGGCCAAGAGAAUAGCAGAGACACUCGCUCUGAUGCCUUUGAGCCAAUGAAUCAAUGCCAGAAGCAGCUGACCUCCAGAGUUCUUGUUACAGGAUUAAAAUAAAUCUCUACUUAUUUGCCAUUGUCA
rnacentral:lncRNA from 1 species